rnacentral:rRNA from 1 species
CCUACGGGGAGCAGCAGUGAGGAAUAUUGGUCAUUGGACGAGAGUCUGAACCAGCCAAGUAGCGUGAAGGAUGACUGCCCUAUGGGUUGUAAACUUCUUUUAUAUGGGAAUAAAAUGUUCCACGUGUGGGAUUUUGUAUGUACCAUAUGAAUAAGGAUCGGCUAACUCCGUGCCAGCAGCCGCGGUAAUACGGAGGAUCCGAGCGUUAUCCGGAUUUAUUGGGUUUAAAGGGAGCGUAGGUGGAUUGUUAAGUCAGUUGUGAAAGUUUGCGGUUCAACCGUAAAAUUGCAGUUGAAACUGGCAGUCUUGAGUACAGUAGAGGUGGGCGGAAUUCGUGGUGUAGCGGUGAAAUGCUUAGAUAUCACGAAGAACUCCGAUUGCGAAGGCAGUUCACUGGACUGCAACUGACACUGAGGCUCGAAAGUGUGGGUAUCAAACAGGAUUAGAUACCCCGGUAGUC